CUACAGGACAGACAUGAAGAGAAGAUAUCUAAGCUACAAAACUGGAUACAGCAGCUGCAGGACAGUCUGGAGCAGGCCUGCAGGGAGCGCAUUCAGUAUGAAGCAGAGUUUAAGAAGGUGCAGGCCAGCUACAAGCGGUUUGUGGACCUGACUGAUUCCUCGAUCC